UACGUAGGGUGCAAGCGUUGUCCGGAAUCAUUGGGCGUAAAGCGCGUGUAGGCGGCCCGGUAAGUCCGCUGUGAAAGUCCAGGGCUCAACCCUGGGAUGCCGGUGGAUACUGUCGGGCUCGAGUCCGGAAGAGGAGUGUGGAAUUCCUGGUGUAGCGGUGAAAUGCGCAGAUAUCAGGAAGAACACCCGUGGCUAAGGCGGCUCUCUAGUACGGUACUGACGCUGAGACGCGAAAGCGUGGGGAGCGAACAGG
rnacentral:rRNA from 1 species